rnacentral:rRNA from 1 species
UACGGAGGAUGCGAGCGUUAUCCGGAUUUAUUGGGUUUAAAGGGUGCGUAGGCGGACGCUUAAGUCAGCGGUAAAAUUGCGGGGCUCAACCUCGUCGAGCCGUUGAAACUGGGUAUCUUGAGUGGGCGAGAAGUACGCGGAAUGCGUGGUGUAGCGGUGAAAUGCAUAGAUAUCACGCAGAACUCCGAUUGCGAAGGCAGCGUACCGGCGCCCAACUGACGCUGAAGCACGAAGGCGUGGGUAUCGAACAGG